GCGAUACUAGCUCAGUUGGUAGAGCGCAACCUUGCCAAGGUUGAGGUCACGAGUUCGAACCUCGUGUAUCGCUCCA
rnacentral:tRNA from 1 species